rnacentral:rRNA from 1 species
AGUGAACGCUGGCGGUAGGCCUAACACAUGCAAGUCGAACGGCAGCACAGGAGAGCUUGCUCUCUGGGUGGCGAGUGGCGGACGGGUGAGGAAUACAUCGGAAUCUACUCUGUCGUGGGGGAUAACGUAGGGAAACUUACGCUAAUACCGCAUACGACCCACGGGUGAAAGCAGGGGACCUUCGGGCCUUGCGCGAUUGAAUGAGCCGAUGUCGGAUCAGCUAGUCGGCGGGGUAAAGGCCCACCAAGGCGACGAUCCGUAGCUGGUCUGAGGGGAUGAUCAGCCACACUGGAACUGAGACACGGUCCAGACUCCUACGGGAGGCAGCAGUGGGGAAUAUUGGACAAUGGGCGCAAACCUGAUCCAGCCAUACCGCGUGGGUGAAGAAGGCCUUCGGGUUGUAAAGCCCUUUUGUCGGGAAAGAAAUCCAGCUGGCUAAUACCCGGUUGGGAUGACGGUACCCAAAGAAUAAGCACCGGCUAACUUCGUGCCAGCCGCCGCCGUAA